rnacentral:misc_RNA from 1 species
GAUGAAGAACGUAGCGAAAUGGGAUAAGUAAUGUGAAUUGCAGAAUUCAGUGAAUCAUCGAAUCUUUGAACGCACAUUGCGCCCGCCAGUAUUCUGGCGGGCAUGCCUGUUCGAGCGUCAUUUCAACCAUCAAGCCCCCGGGCUUGUGUUGGGGACCUGCGGCUGCCGCAGGCCCUGAAAAGCAGUGGCGGGCUCGCUGUCACACCGAGCGUAGUAGAUUUUAUCUCGCUCUGGGCGUGCUGCGGGUUCCGGCCGUUAAACCACCCUUUUAACCCAAGGUUGACCUCGGAUCAGGUAGGAAGACCCGCUGAACUUAAGCAUAUCAAUAAGCGGAGGA